AGAGUUUGAUCCUGGCUCAGAUUGAACGCUGGCGGCGUGCCUAACACAUGCAAGUCGAGCGGUAACAGGUGUAGCAAUACAUGCUGACGAGCGGCGGACGGGUGAGCAAUAUUUGGGAAUCUGCCUAUUAGUGGGGGACAACCCGGGGAAACUCGGGCUAAUACCGCAUACGCACUACGGUGGAAAGCCGGGGACCGCAAGGCCUGGCGCUAAUAGAUGAGCCCAAAUCGGAUUAGCUAGUUGGUGAGGUAACGGCUCACCAAGGCGACGAUCCGUAGCUGGUCUGAGAGGACGACCAGCCACACCGGAACUGAGACACGGUCCGGACUCCUACGGGAGGCAGCAGUGGGGAAUAUUGGACAAUGGGCGAAAGCCUGAUCCAGCGACGCCGCGUGGGUGAAGAAGGCCUGCGGGUUGUAAAGCCCUUUCGGUGGGGAUAAAAAGCCUUGGUUUAACACACCAGGGUCUUGAUCUAACCCAAGAAAGAAGCACCGGCUAACUCUGUGCCAGCAGCCGCGGUAAUACAGAGGGUGCGAGCGUUAAUCGGAAUUACUGGGCGUAAAGCGCACGUAGGUGGCUUUGCAAGUCGGAUGUGAAAUCCCCGGGCUUAACCUGGGAACUGCAUUCGAGACUGCUCUGCUAGAGUAUGGGAGAGGGAAGUGGAAUUUCCGGUGUAGCGGUGAAAUGCGUAGAUAUCGGAAGGAACAUCAGUGGCGAAGGCGACUUCCUGGACCAAUACUGACACUCAAGUGCGAAAGCGUGGGGAGCAAACAGGAUUAGAUACCCUAGUAGUCC
rnacentral:rRNA from 1 species